ensembl:ncRNA C02F4.10 ncRNA
GCUCGCAUCGCGGAGCACACUAUUUCGUUCUUGCGGCUCUCGGGUCCCGGGACAGCAGCCGCAACAGACACCGAUAGCAGCGACAGCACAGCAACACGCAGCAGGAGUAGUUGAAGAAGAAGAAGAAGAAGAAGAAGAAGAAGCAGCUUCUUUUUGGUGUCGUCGAUCGAGCAGAAAGCUGCUCUCUUCUUCUUUCUCUCCUCUUCUUCUAUCCCUUCUCUUAUUCUCCGAUUCGAGCACAGGCUAAGCUUCUCGAGCUGAU